rnacentral:lncRNA from 1 species
GUUGGGAAUAGUGUCCCAAAGCCAAUCGUCAGUCUGUUGACGGUUGUGCUCCUUUUGUAUUAGUACAUGAAUUAUAAAUAAAUAAAAGUUAUUUUGAUAUUUUUUCAUCACAAAUGUUUCAUCUUCUAAUGAACUCCUGUGUUGUGGUGAAAUCCUUAGGACUAUUUAGACUCGACAAAGGAAGAUUUGUCACUUAGUCCUUAAACAUGUUCACGAUCAAAUGAUACGUUGUUACCA